rnacentral:rRNA from 1 species
AUGAACGCUGGCGGCGUGCCUAAUACAUGCAAGUCGAGCGAACAGACGAGGAGCUUGCUUCUCUGACGUUAGCGGCGGACGGGUGAGUAACACGUGGAUAACCUACCUAUAAGACUGGGAUAACUUCGGGAAACCGGAGCUAAUACCGGAUAAUAUAUUGAACCGCAUGGUUCAAUAGUGAAAGACGGUUUUGCUGUCACUUAUAGAUGGAUCCGCGCCGCAUUAGCUAGUUGGUAAGGUAACGGCUUACCAAGGCAACGAUGCGUAGCCGACCUGAGAGGGUGAUCGGCCACAUUGGAACUGAGACACGGUCCAGACUCCUACGGGAGGCAGCAGUAGGGAAUCUUCCGCAAUGGGCGAAAGCCUGACGGAGCAACGCCGCGUGAGUGAUGAAGGUCUUCGGAUCGUAAAACUCUGUUAUUAGGGAAGAACAAAUGUGUAAGUAACUAUGCACGUCUUGACGGUACCUAAUCAGAAAGCCACGGCUAACUACGUG